UACGUAGGGUGCAAGCGUUAAUCGGAAUUACUGGGCGUAAAGCGUGCGCAGGCGGCUUUGCAAGACAGAUGUGAGAUCCCCGGGCUUAACCUGGGAACUGCAUUUGUGACUGCAUGGCUAGAGUGCGGCAGAGGGGGAUGGAAUUCCGCGUGUAGCAGUGAAAUGCGUAGAUAUGCGGAGGAACACCGAUGGCGAAGGCAAUCCCCUGGGCCUGCACUGACGCUCAUGCACGAAAGCGUGGGGAGCAAACAGG
rnacentral:rRNA from 1 species